rnacentral:rRNA from 1 species
CCUACGGGUGGCAGCAGUGAGGAAUAUUGGUCAAUGGGCGCGAGCCUGAACCAGCCAAGUAGCGUGAAGGAUGACUGCCCUACGGGUUGUAAACUUCUUUUAUAAAGGAAUAAAGUGAGGCACGUGUGCCUUUUUGUCUGUACUUUAUGCUUAAAGAUCGGCUAACUCCGUGCCAGCAGCCGCGGUAAUCCGUAGGAUCGGAUCGUUAACCGAAUUUAUUGGGGUUACAGGGAGCGUAGAUGGGUUUUUAAGUCAGUUGUGAAAGGUUGCGGCUUAACCUGAAAAAUGCAAUUAGUCCUGGCAGCCUAGAGUACAGUUGAGGUAGGCGGAAUUCGUGGUGUAGCAGUGAAAUGCUUAGAUAUCACGAAGAACUCCGAUUGCGAAGGCAGCUUACUAAACUGCCACUGACAUUGAUGCUCGAAAGUGUGGGUAUCAAACAGGAUUAGAUACCCUUGUAGUC